GGCGACCAUGCCCACCAGUCCCCACGAUUUGCCCUCCACUCCACCAAUGCGUUACUAAAGAUUGCCCCUCAAGAGCAAGCCACAAGGGAUUCAGAGGUCUUGCAGCGCUAAUGUUCUGCUACCGUGACCUCACCCAUGGGGUCUGCGGCUGCAGGGCCUCCCAGCCAGCCACCCGCAUGAAGCUGUAGCUUCUUGAAAGAACACACAGGGCGCCCCGUUUACUGGGGUGUGGCAAGAUGUGCACCCAUCAAGGCGCAACAUCCUCAGCCAGGUAGUAGCGAGGGCCUGUGUUGGACACACUGGCAGCCCUGGCGUCCACCAAGGGGACAUUCAUGAACUGGUCGACCGCAACUUCGGCAUCACUGUUGUUCCCCAGCAGGGGAGCAUGCCAUUCGACCUCCAGCAUCACAUCGAACUUAUCCCUGUUCAAUGGCGACCUGUAGUGGUACAAGCCCAGCACCUUCCCCACCCACAUUUUGUCGCUGGAGUUGCAUCUCUGGGUGAUGAACCAGCAGGCCUGUGAUGUCUUAGGCUUGUUGCUAUCGAAUGCAGUGAGUUCCACGUUGUUGUUGAGCUUGAUGGCCAUGAGCUUCUCCAAGAACCUGCCUGUGAGAUGUAUACCACUGACCGGCUUUGACCCCAACAGCAAACCCGGCUGCACCCACACAUCUUGGCACCACAGCUCACUGAGGCAGCACUUGGCCAGCACCUACAGAUGNNNNNNNNNNNNNNNNNNNNNNNNNNNNNNNNNNNNNNNNNNNNNNNNNNCGUUGGGCUAGGGGGGCGCAGGGGAGGGCGUCGUUUGGCUAUGGGGGUGCAGGGGAGAGCAGUGUACGGCAAGGGGGGCGCAGGGGGAGGGCGGCGUUGGGCAAGGGGGGCGCAGGGGAGGGCGUCGUUUGGCUAGGGGCGGCGCAGGGGAGGGCGGCGUUGGGCCGGGGGGUGAUGGGGAGGGCGGCGUUUGGCUAUGGGGGCGCAGGGGAGAGCAGCGUUGGGCAAGGGGGGCGGAGGGGAGGGCAGCGUUGGGCUAGGGGGUGCGCAGGAGGGGGCGGCGUUUGGCUAUGGGGGCGCAGGGGAGAGCAGCGUUCGGCAAGGGGGGCGCAGGGGGAGGGCGGCGUUGGGCAAGGGGGGCGCAGGGGGAGGGCGGCGUUGGGCAAGGGGGGCGCAGGGGAGGGCGUCGUUUGGCUAGGGGCGGCGGAGGGGAGGGCAGCGUUGGGCUAUGGGGGUGCAGGGGAGGGCGGCGUUUGGCUAUGGGGGCGCAGGGGAGAGCAGCGUUGGGCAAGGGGGGCGCAACGGAGGGCGGUGUUGGGCAAGGGGGGCGCAGGGGAGGGCGUCGUUUGGCUAGGGGCGGCGGAGGGGAGGGCAGCGUUUGGCUAUGGGGGCGCAGGGGAGGGCGUCGUUUGGCUAUGGGGGCGCAGGGGAGGGCGUCGUUUGGCUAUGGGGGCGCAGGGGAGGGUGUCAACCAAGCACCUCCACCCCCUUCAUCCCUUCCCCCUUCACCUCCUCCACCGUCGCCACUGCCACCAUCUCCACCUCCGCCCCGCAUCCCCCUCUCCUCUCUCCCCCCCAUCCCCACCUCCUAUAGGAUACAGCUAUUUCUUCCCCGCAUCCCCCUCUCCUCUCUCCCCCCCAUAUCCAACUUUGCUAUCUUCCUCCCUUCUUCAAUGUGUGUUCACAUCACCCGAUGAUGCAAAAGGAGGAGAAACAUUUCUAUAAAAUACCUUAUGGACUACGGUCUCACCUGUUAGGUUGUCGGGGCUCCACUGCAUUUCCGCCUGGCCCUUCGGCGGACUCCGGACUCCACUCCAUGUCCACCGCCACUGGAGACGAGGCGCCUACACUAGUGUACUGACAGUACUGACAGGGGGGACCUAGCUUCAAAUCGCUGAUGAUCUACAUGUGACGUGUCUGCUAGUUUCGUUUAUUGUACCUGUUUCAUCCGGCUGGUUAGCUUGAGCCUGUGCACAUGCAAGGGGACCAUCAUCAUCCUCCGACUCAUACACUGCACCCCUUGCUUCAUCAUCUGCACAAAUGCACAUCAAAGCAAAUGGCAGACAUGAUUACCUUUACAUCAGUCCACACCCCUGUCCAUUACAUCCGUCCCUUGCCCCGUGCCCGUCGCCCGUCCCUGAGUCGCUGUCACCCGAGCUGCCAUGACCAGCACCCCGUUCACCCCAUCCCCUUCACCUCCCCUGCCGUCACCACGGCCGCCAUUUCCACCUCCGUCCUCUUCAUUGCUGCAAUCCCCGCCCCCCCGUCUCCGUGGCCGCCACUACCACCUCUCUCCCAUGCAUUCCCAUCCGUUCUCACCUGCACCUCCGUCGCCAACCGUUGCUUCUUCAGUGGCAACAAUACGGAUCUCCACCUCUCCAUCCGUCCCAAUGUGUCCAGGUGAUCCGUCACCUGGGAAUAGCAGGGCAUACGACCACGACACCAUGAAGGGUUCCACAUACUUCAUUCUGGAUGAAGUUUCCCCGCCAUUACGUUUAUCCCUUGCCAUUGCAACCGUAACCAUUGCCACUGUCGCCAUCCCCGCUGUCGCCAUCCCUGCUGUCGCCAUCCCCGCCAUCGCCCUCCCCACCGUCGCCUUCCCUGCCGUCGCCCGUCCCUUCCUCCGUGCCCGUCGCCCGUCCCAGCAGCGACGUCAGGGGCAACGGCGGCACAGAUGUGCCGCCGUUGCGCCUGACGUUGCCUGAGUCGCCGUCACCCGAGCUGCCAUCACCACCAUCCCCUUCACCCCAUCCCCUUCACCUCCCCUGCCGUCACCACUGCUGCCAUUUCCGUCCUCUUACCUUAUGGACUACGGUCUCACCUGUUAGAUUGUCGGGGCUCCACUGCAUUUCCGCCUGGCCCUUCGGUGGACUCCACUCCAUGUCCACCGGAGACGGGGUGCCUGCACUGACAGGGGGGACCUCGUUUCAAAUCGCUCAUGACCUACAUGUGACGUGUCUGCUAGUUUCGUUUGUUGUACCUGUUUGGUCCGGUUUGUUAGCUUGCGCCUGUGCUCCCGCACCAACCACCAAAGGGCCCGCCGCAACGGGAGCUUGUUGCUGAGGAGAUUCAUCUGCAUCAUAUUGGACGUCGCAAAUUUUAACCCUACAUAGUACCUGGCAAUGUAUUGCAGCAAUUUCUCACUGCGUCCAGCGACCAUCUCUUUAGGAGCCACGGCAUCGAGGCCAAAAAGCUCUUUGCCAUUAUUACCACCAUGAGGCUGGACGCACUGAUGCAUGAUGACGAGAUUAUAUGCAUGAGACGUGCUAUGAUACUUGCGUUCGCAGGACACACACGUAAUUUCAAAUUUCGACAACGCAUACAGUCGACCGCGGCAGAGGUAACGUGGAUAUGUUUUAACUGGAGGGGCCAUCUUUAUUAGCUAUUAUUACAUCUUCAACAGAAAGCAGGACUUGCGAACAGAUGCUGUGUGCAUUUGUAUGUUCUGAAGGGCCCUACAGCCCUUCAUUCUGGGACAAGCGCAGACUGAACGAAACCUUAUGUUUGGAGUAUUUGUACAGUCAUAAGUAAUUAAAACAAUCCCUGGCAUGUCGAUAUUACAGGGCUUUUGCAUGCUAAGUGGCCAUUUCAGCCGAACUCCGUCGAUAUGCUCUGAAGGCCCCUCAGCCCUUCGUUAUGAAGUGAACACGAAUGAGCACGAAACGACAACUAGAUGAAGGGAUUCCCGGGUAUCGAAGGGAAGCUGGUUCCCAGAGUGUAAGCAACACAUGGUCCCACCAUGUACAUACAUGUAUGUACAUGUACAGCUGCAGGUAGAGCAGGUAGGAGUACUACGUGGUCGUGGCUGGUGGAGGGGUUGCACAGCCAGGUGAAGGCUUGUGAUGGCUUUCAGUCCAAACUCCAAGAAAAAAGCUUUUAAGCGAUCAGAAUCUGAUGAACAUAAUAGCUGGGAGCCAGGGAUGAACUUUAUCCCUACCAAAAUGGAAGCGUGCUAAAGAACGUUCCUGAGAACACUAAGAAUGCUAAGAACAGCUUGAGAAUGCUGGCGCUGCUGAGAAUGUUCUUAUGCCAGUCUCAAGCAUUCUUAUGACGGUUUUACGCAAAGAAUGGCUUUGAGAAUGCAACGGUGCGGAAAACUUAGCAGAAACACACACAAGUUACAGUGGUUUGCCCCUUCCAUAGUUCAAGCAGGAAACAGAGAGUCAGUCCUGUAUUCUGAAAUAAGUUCAUAGUGCUGAAAUCAUCCACAAGACCGACCAUGAGGGCCCCUACAGCUCUGCACCGAGAGGGUAAGGCCCUUCGAAAACUGGCUGGCACCAGGAAGUCGCCCCGGUAUACAAGUGAAGCAGACAUGCCCCAACAAUCAACUAUCCAACGAAGGAUUUAGUCAGUCAACUUAUGGAACGGGCCCCAAGCAAUUUCUGUCGAUUUGCAUAGUAAUGUGCCACUCCAUUACCUAUUACUUCACCAAUACAUCCCUGUGCACAACAUUCAUUCGGUUAUCCAUCAGCCGUACCAUCAGCCGUACCUUCAUUGAGAAGCCCCGCCAAGGGCACGGUUCGACCAUUCGAGGGCCUGGGCGACCAUGCCCACCAGUCCCCACGAUUUGCCCUCCACUCCACCAAUGCGUUACUAAAGAUUGCCCCUCAAGAGCAAGCCACAAGGGAUUCAGAGGUCUUGCAGCGCUAAUGUUCUGCUACCGUGACCUCACCCAUGGGGUCUGCGGCUGCAGGGCCUCCCAGCCAGCCACCCGCAUGAAGCUGUAGCUUCUUGAAAGAACACACAGGGCGCCCCGUUUACUGGGGUGUGGCAAGAUGUGCACCCAUCAAGGCGCAACAUCCUCAGCCAGGUAGUAGCGAGGGCCUGUGUUGGACACACUGGCAGCCCUGGCGUCCACCAAGGGGACAUUCAUGAACUGGUCG
rnacentral:lncRNA from 1 species